UCAAAAAUAAUUUAACACAAAAUCUUGUCCCUACAACACAAUAAUUAAGGGCCAAUCCCUUUUUUUGAA
rnacentral:tRNA from 1 species